rnacentral:rRNA from 1 species
CCAAGGAGUCUAACAUGUGCGCGAGUCACUCAGUCUUGAAUAGGCUAGAGAGGCGCAAUGAAAGUAAACUUUAGGUUACGAUCCUCAUGCGGACACUCUUUGAUGGGUGUCGGUGGGGCGCAGUAACAGCCCGCUAAUUUCGCCUAUUGACGAUAUAGCGGAGUUGUAGCGUACACGUUGGUACCCGAAAGAUGGUGAACUAUGCUUGGGCAAGACGAAGCCAGAGGAAACUCUGGUGGAGGUCUGUAGCGAUUCUGACGUGCAAAUCGAUCGUCAGACCUGAGUAUAGGGGCGAAAGACUAAUCGAACCAUC